CCAGCUCUUUGGUUGAACCCCUUUCAUCUCAAAACUCAUUCUAACUCUUGAUUUUAAGUUGUGCUUGCUUGGAUUCAAGCUUGGGGUUUGUGGCUUUUGUGAUUGAGAUUGAAAAUAGUUAUUUUGCAUCUUAAAAAGGAAAAUUUCUGGGCUUUUUCCUUUGCCCUAGCUGCCCCCUCUCCCUCUUUUCUUCAUAUUUUUAUUUUGCUAAGUGUUGGAAAAUUCAUCUUGAAAGUUUGGAUUCUUGGUGGGUUUUGUGCUUAGCUUUGUUUGGAGCUUGAGGAAAGGGUAAAUCGAUUUCUAAUCAGCCAUGAGUGUAGGAGCAGGACGAUGAAUGCACAUGUUCGGGCCACACUAGACCAAGCGGGUUGGGGUCUACCAGUGUUGAAACUUUUGUAACUCUGUUAUGCCGCUUAGGUCGGCUAAGGGAAAAGACUUGUAAUAUUUUGUAAAAUAAUUUUUGGGAUCCCAAUACGUGUAACUUUUGUUUGUAAGGUUAAAAUUAUUACAAGUUUAUUUUCAUU